UAGGGAAUUUUGCGCAAUGGACGAAAGUCUGACGCAGCAAUCCCGCGUGGAGGAUGAAGUUUUUCGGAACGUAAACUCCUUUCGGUAGUGAAGAUAAUGACGGUAACUACAGAAGAAGCACCGGCUAACUACGUGCCAGCAGCCGCGGUAAUACGUAGGGUGCAAGCGUUGUCCGGAAUCAUUGGGCGUAAAGCGUUCGUAGGCGGUUUAGUAAGUCUAAUGUUAAAUCCUGGAGCUCAACUCCAGCAUGGCAUUGGAUACUGCUAGGCUAGAGUAUAGUAGAGGUAAGGGGAAUUCCUGGUGUAGCGGUGAAAUGCGUAGAUAUCAGGAGGAACAUCGGUGGCGAAAGCGCCUUACUGGACUAUUACUGACGCUGAGGAACGAAAGCCAGGGUAGCGAAAG
rnacentral:rRNA from 1 species